GCCGUGCCUGCAGGACUUCCCUUCGCUUGGGCGCAAGCCGGCGAUUAGCCUGGUCCCCUAGGACAUCUCCAGGGCUCCGGGGAACCUCUCCUGCGCAGGCUUGGCCCUGCCUCCUCCAAGCGUCCGAGUCUUUUUCGGCUUUUCGUGAGCCUCAGAGAGGGACGUUUCCUGCCAACGCUGCUGCGAAGGAAAGUUUGGGCGGCGUUAUCCCGACUGCCUUCCUCGCCAGCGCCGGCGAGCAGCUUGGGGACACAGCCGACGCCCGGGCAUCCUCCCCGACGACCCCCCGGAGCGCUCCCAGUUCAGACUCCUUUCCGAGAAGCGCGCAGAAGUGACAGCCCCGGAGCUUCGUUCCGGUGUAGGUGUGGGGAUGCGCCGCAAGGCAGGAGGGGAAGGCGCUCCAGUUGAAGGGGGCACCCCGGGGCCCGCGCCGACUCCUCCCGGCGCAGCCUUGGCUCGCCGGAGUCGCGGGUCGGAGGCUGGCGCCGCUGCCCGCCGACCAGCACCCUGGCGCCAGGCGCCCGGCUCCACGCCGCACCCUUGGCGACGCUGUGCGAGGGGCUCUAGCGCCCGCCGCGGCGCAGUCUCGUGAACCCCCGCUCCAAUUUUUUCCUACGGAGGCGCAGAGGAGGGUGAAUUCGCGCUCUCCUUCCCGACGCCCCGGCUUCUGGGAGCGUCAGAGCAACGGAAGUACGUACAGGAGGACCGAGAGCAGCAGGGAAGUUUGGCGGUGGGCUGGGGUCGGCGGCGAAGAUUCCCUGCCGUGCGCUGCCCCCUCGUGGCCGCUUUGCGUUCCCGUCGGGAAGGGCUGGGUUCCAGUCCAGGGCCCAGCACAAACCAGGAUUGGUUGGACGCUGCACAGCGAGUUCAGUCAGGGCUAACAUCAGAAGAGUCGUGGGGGGCCUGCCUAUCGGCCAGCCUGUCCUUGUGGUUUGUGAAGUUGUAUGAUCUUUCUGUUAUUAUUAAGGAAAAAAGUAGUAUUUGUUGAGGCUAAAAGGCCAAGAGCGUGCUAUAUAUUAUUUAAUCCUCUAAACAGCUCUGCCAGAUAAUUAUUUUAUUUAUUUAUAUUUACUUCCAUAGCUUUAGACAGGAUCUCGUUCUGUCAGGCAGGCUAGAGCGCGGGGUGCUAUCACGGCUCACUGCAGCCUCAAACUCUUGGGCUCAAGCCAUCCUUUCACCUCAGCCUCCUGAAUAGUUGAAACUACAGGUGCGCCACCACGCCUGGCUAAAUUUUUAAUUUAAAUUUUUUGUAGCGACAGGGUCUCCUUAUGUUGCCCAGGCUAGUCUCAAACUCCUGGGCUCAAGAGAUCCUCCAACCUCAUCUUCACAAAGUGCUGGGAGUACAGGCGCCAGCCACGGUGCCCAACCUGUGAUAAUUAUUUUAAACUCAUUUUACAAAUGAGGAAAGUGAUAUUCAUACUUGUAAAGCCAUUGGGGCUGAAUUUUCAUUUUUGUAUCCACAGAACUAACACAUAAAGUUUACAUGCCAUUAGAAUGUAAGCUCUCUGUAAGCUACAGAUCUUUUCUACUGUAAUAUCCUUAGUGCCUAGGGCAGUGACUAGCAUAUAGUAGGUGUUCAAUAAAUAUUUGUAGAAUUAAUGAAA
rnacentral:lncRNA from 10 species